rnacentral:rRNA from 1 species
GGGUUAACGUCCCGUAACGAGCGCCAACCCUUGUCCUUAGUUACCAGCACGUUAUGGUGGGCACUCUAAGGAGACUGCCGGUGACAAACCGGAGGAAGGUGGGGAUGACGUCAAGUCAUCAUGGCCCUUACGGCCUGGGCUACACACGUGCUACAAUGGUCGGUACAAAGGGUUGCCAAGCCGCGAGGUGGAGCUAAUCCCAUAAAACCGAUCGUAGUCCGGAUCGCAGUCUGCAACUCGACUGCGUGAAGUCGGAAUCGCUAGUAAUCGUGAAUCAGAAUGUCACGGUGAAUACGUUCCCGGGCCUU